rnacentral:rRNA from 1 species
AACGAACGCUGGCGGCAUGCCUAACACAUGCAAGUCGAACGAGACCUUCGGGUCUAGUGGCGCACGGGUGCGUAACGCGUGGGAACCUGCCCUUAGGUUCGGAAUAACUCCCCGAAAGGGGUGCUAAUACCGGAUAAUGUCUUCGGACCAAAGAUUUAUCGCCUUUGGAUGGGCCCGCGUUGGAUUAGCUAGUUGGUAGGGUAAAAGCCUACCAAGGCGACGAUCCAUAGCUGGUCUGAGAGGAUGAUCAGCCACACUGGGACUGAGACACGGCCCAGACUCCUACGAGAGGCAGCAGUGGGGAAUAUUGGACAAUGGGCGAAAGCCUGAUCCAGCAAUGCCGCGUGAGUGAUGAAGGCCCUAGGGUUGUAAAGCUCUUUUACCCGGGAUGAUAAUGACAGUACCGGGAGAAUAAGCUCCGGCUAACUCCGU